rnacentral:rRNA from 1 species
GAUUUCUGGCUUGUAACAACUUAUCGGCCACGGUUUCGUGUGUUAGUGUAGGUUGUUCUUGCCAUCCUUCCAAUCGCUGCUCACUAGUCUUCAUUGAUGGGUGAGUGGUAUUGGAUCUUUUACUUUGAAAAAAUUAGAGUGUUUCAAGCAGGCGUUUAUGCUAUGAAUACAUUAGCAUGGAAUAAUAAUUUAGGACUUCGGUUCUAUUUUGUUGGUUUCUAGGACUGAAGUAAUGAUUGAUAGGGAUAGUUGGGGGUGCUAGUAUUCAGCGGCCAGAGGUGAAAUUCUCGGAUUCGCUGAAGACUAACUUAUGCGAAAGCAUU